GGCCGGGGCGGCGAGCGGGGCGGCCGGGAGCGCGCCUUCGUGCGGCGGCUCCCGCGGAGAUGCUGCUGCUGGGCCCCCGCCUCCUCCCUUCACACGGUCCCUCCCCUGCGCUCUUUAAGAUGACAGCGUCCUCAGAGGUUGACAACUGAAUUAGAAUUUCCAAAUGGAGGUGUUUUAAAUAGAAGUUACCUGUAAGAAGAUGGAUGUCACUGCCCACCAAUGCAGCACUGUAUUGGAAAUUAAAGACAGAGAUUCCCUUU